UUUUUAUAGAGUUUAGUAUAGCUGAAUCUUGUCUUAAUGUGGUUUUAUUCACUUGUUACCAAACCGUUAUAGUAAAAUUAUGACAACAGUGGAAUUUCUACAUUAUCCGGAUUUGAAACAAACGUACAAGUAGUUACUGAGAUGUAAUCCUUGGGCUAUAACUCCAGACUCACGUGGAUAUCAUCUAUAUAACAACAGGAAACCGGAAUGAUCAAUAUUCUGCCGUCUCUAAAGCAUUUUUCUCUCCUCACUUUUGAUUCAGACUAAACAGAGCUGCUCAUUUGAUAUCGUGUUUUCACACCAUGGACACAUUUCACGGAGCUGAGCUAACAGCCUGUGGGCGUCUGAGUGUGCAAACCUCCAGCAAUCUUACGUACGUCUCAAGCCAUCUGGACCCCUGUUCGCUGCCAAGUUACGCAAGUCUGAAAAAGAACAUGGGCGUGUAUCCCAAACAUGAGCUCUGCAAUAUAACACCACCAUCUGAGGAGAAGACAUUUCACUAUAAACUCCCGCAACACAAGACAGCAUGGGAAGAAGUCGAAAAAAAUUGUGCAGCUUACCAUAAGCACAAUUUUUCACUUUUGAAAAAUAUCAGGAUCUAUACACUUUUGUGUCCAUUUUGGAAGAGCAAUCAGACAAUUCACAUGGAAAGUUCUAGUAACGGGGAAAAAGAAAGUUUACAUUUAACGUUAGAGAUUUUGCACAUUAGUUUCAUCCACUCACACAUGGAAAUUCUGAUGUCCAUACUUUUAUUUAGUUAUAUAUAGACACAUAUUUGCACAUAAGAAUAUAGACUUAAUGGGUUUAAUUGUUUACAAAAAUUACUCUUCAUUAAAAUAUCUGUCAACACUGGUGUUUAGAGUGAUGUGCUUUCAGACAGAGGUAAAUCAUCCCUCUAAACAUCACAUUUUGCUAGGUAUUGCUGGGUAGAGAGAGAGAUACGCUCACUUAGCUCUACCCUGCUUUAAACAACCUCCAUCUGUUCUUUACAUAAGAUUCAAAUGAAAGUUCACUAUGGAGACGCACUGAAGGCUGGCUUAUUUUAGGAUCAGCAAAAUGAAAACUCUUUUAGUAGCUGGAGAGAAAGAGAUCCGUGAUUGUCAAAUAGUAGCUUAUACACAUUUCAAUAAUACUACAAAAUGGCACAAUAUAUUGAGCAUAAACACUUAAAGAGCACCCAGAUUAAUACUGUAAUGUUUGGACUUACUGUCCAUGUAACAUGAAUGUCUCAAACUGGGUAGAAGAGGUCAUCAAGAACAAAAACGCGAUGAACUAAUUAAAUAUGGGGUUCUAACACUUUUUAA